rnacentral:rRNA from 1 species
GGCGAACGCUGGCGGCGUGCCUAACACAUGCAAGUCGAGCGAGGAGGAGAUAGCUUGCUAUCGAAUCCUAGCGGCGGACGGGUGAGUAACGCGUGAGCAAUCUGCCUUUUACAGGGGGAUAACGCAUCGAAAGAUGUGCUAAUACCGCGUAAGACCACAGCACCGCAUGGUGCAGGGGUCAAAGGAGCAAUCCGGUAAAAGAUGAGCUCGCGUCCGAUUAGCUAGUUGGUGAGAUAACAGCCCACCAAGGCGACGAUCGGUAGCCGACCUGAGAGGGUGAUCGGCCACAUUGGAACUGAGACACGGUCCAG